rnacentral:rRNA from 1 species
UGAGGAAUAUUGGUCAAUGGGCGAGAGCCUGAACCAGCCAAGUAGCGUGCAGGACGACGGCCCUAUGGGUUGUAAACUGCUUUUAUAAGGGAAUAAAGUGGGUCACGUGUGACUUUUUGCAUGUACCUUAUGAAUAAGGACCGGCUAAUUCCGUGCCAGCAGCCGCGGUAAUACGGAAGGUGCAAGCGUUAAUCGGAAUUACUGGGCGUAAAGCGCGUGUAGGCUGUAUGGCAAGUUGGAGGUGAAAUCCCACGGCUCAACCGUGGAACUGCCUUCAAAACUACCAAACUAGAGUGCGAGAGAGGAUAGCGGAAUUCCAGGUGUAGGAGUGAAAUCCGUAGAUAUCUGGAAGAACAUCAGUGGCGAAGGCGGCUAUCUGGCUCGUAACUGACGCUGAGAUGCGAAAGCGUGGGUAGCAAACAGGAUUAGAUACCCUGGUAGU